AAUAGUUUUCAUUCGGUGUUUCUCAUAAUUUCAAGCUGAAAAACGAGAAAAAUAUUUGGAAAACGUUUACAGACGUACAGCAGAUUAUACCGGGGUUUCUGAAAGCACAGUACGCAGGAUAGUGGAGCAAGGGAGUAAAAAUGAAGGAGAAUAUCUACAAAAAA